rnacentral:rRNA from 1 species
UCCUACGGGAGGCAGCAGUGGGGAAUAUUGCACAAUGGGCGCAAGCCUGAUGCAGCAACGCCGCGUGAGGGACGAAGGCCUUCGGGUUGUAAACCUCUUUUAGUAGGGAAGAAGCGACUGGGUUUUCCUGGGAGUGACGGUACCUGCAGAAAAAGCACCGGCUAACUACGUGCCAGCAGCCGCGGUAAUACGUAGGGUGCAAGCGUUGUCCGGAAUUAUUGGGCGUAAAGAGCUCGUAGGCGGUUUGUCGCGUCUGCUGUGAAAACCCGAGGCUCAACCUCGGGCCUGCAGUGGGUACGGGCAGACUAGAGUGCGGUAGGGGAGAUUGGAAUUCCUGGUGUAGCGGUGGAAUGCGCAGAUAUCAGGAGGAACACCAAUGGCGAAGGCAGAUCUCUGGGCCGUAACUGACGCUGAGGAGCGAAAGCAUGGGGAGCGAACAGGAUUAGAUACCCUGGUAGUCCAUGCCGUAAACGUUGGGAACUAGAUGUGGGGACCAUUCCACGGUCUCCGUGUCGCAGCUAACGCAUUAAGUUCCCCGCCUGGGGAGUACGGCCGCAAGGCUAAAACUCAAAGGAAUUGACGGGGGCCCGCACAAGCGGCGGAGCAUGCGGAUUAAUUCGAUGCAACGCGAAGAACCUUACCAAGGCUUGACAUAUACCGGAAACGGCUGGAAACAGUCGCCCCGCAAGGUCGGUAUACAGGUGGUGCAUGGUUGUUGUCAGCUCGUGUCGUGAGAUGUUGGGUUAAGUCCCGCAACGAGCGCAACCCUCGUCCUAUGUUGCCAGCACGUAAUGGUGGGAACUCAUGGGAUACUGCCGGGGUCAACUCGGAGGAAGGUGGGGAUGACGUCAAAUCAUCAUGCCCCUUAUGUCUUGGGCUUCACGCAUGCUACAAUGGCCGGUACAAAGGGCUGCGAUACCGCAAGGUGGAGCGAAUCCCAAAAAGCCGGUCUCAGUUCGGAUUGAGGUCUGCAACUCGACCUCAUGAAGUCGGAGUCGCUAGUAAUCGCAGAUCAGCAACGCUGCGGUG